rnacentral:lncRNA from 1 species
CCCAUCGGGAGACACAUUGUGUCAGUUGCUUCCUCUGGAGUCCUUUUAAAAGACUACUUUUUAGAGCAGUUUUCAUGUUACCGAUACAUCGGUCAGAGAGUACGGAGCUUCCCACAUUGCCUCCUGCACCCCAUAGCAGGCAGAGGCACCAGCCAGGCGCCAUCCUUUACAAGCUGUUUCAGCAAAAUGUCCCUGGGAAGGAAAUGACCGCAGAAGGGAGUGCAGCGUGGGGGCAGGAGGUGCUGCGGCCAAUGGGCAGUGCUGGGAGAUGAAACCAACAGCGGCGAUGGCCCCAGAAAGAACUUGGCGCUGCUAAGGCAAUGGCGGCCCGAAGGAGGCCCCUGA